GUGUUUGCUUUGGCAGCACAUACAGUAACAUUGGAAUAAUAUGAAGAUUAGCAAGGUCCCUGUGAAAGGAUGACAUGUAAUUUUGUGUAGUAUUCCAUAUUAAA